rnacentral:rRNA from 1 species
UAGGUUAGCCCCCAAAAUAUUGGGACAUAUAAAAAAGCCAACUCUGUUCUGCAGAGUAGCUGUUGACGUUAUAGUUGAGCAGACACUUUGUUGACUCUAGAGAACCUCGGGCCAAUCGCACAUCCCCGUGGCGGCGACUUUGCAUGCGGAUGUCAUCCAUAUCAACUUUCGAUGCCAGUUUCUGCGCCUGACCACGGGUAAUGGGGAAUCAGGGUUCCAUUUCAUACAGGGACCCUGAGAAACGGGUACCACAUGCAAGCAGGCGCGCAAAUGACCCACUCUCGAUUCGGGAAGGUAGUGA